GGAGAUACAGGUAGAUAGACACAGGUAGUUACAGGGAGAUACAGGUAGAUAGACACAGGUAGUUACAGGGAGAUACAGCUAGAUAGACACAGGUAGUUACAGGGAGAUACAGGUAGAUAGACACAGGUAGUUACAGGGAGAUACAGGUAGAUAGACACAGGUAGUUCCAGGGAGAUACAGCUAGAUAGACACAGGUAGUUACAGGUAGAUAGACACAGGUAGUUACAGGGAGAUACAGGUAGAUAGACACAGGUAGUUCCAGGGAGAUACAGCUAGAUAGACACAGGUAGUUCCAGGGAGAUACAGGUAGAUAGACACAGGUAGUUCCAGGGAGAUACAGCUAGAUAGACACAGGUAGUUCCAGGGAGAUACAGCUAGAUAGACACAGGUAGUUCCAGGGAGAUACAGCUAGAUAGACACAGGUAGUUCCAGGGAGAUAGGCACAGGUAGUUCCAGGGAGAUACAGGUAGAU